rnacentral:rRNA from 1 species
GUGCCAGCAGCCGCGGUAAAACGUAGGUGGCGAGCGUUAUCCGGAUUUACUGGGCGUAAAGCGCGUUUAGGCGGUUUGGCAAGUCGGGCAUGAAAUCUCUUGGCUCAACCAGGAGGGGCUGUCCGAUACUUCCAGACUUGAGGGCAGUAGAGGAGGGUGGAAUUCCGGGUGUAGUGGUGAAAUGCGUAGAUAUCCGGAGGAACACCAGUGGCGAAAGCGGCCCUCUGGGCUGCUCCUGACGCUCAAACGCGAAAGCUAGGGGAGCGAACGGGAUUAGAAACCCCCGUAGUCC